AGAGUUUGAUCAUGGCUCAGGAUGAACGCUAGCUACAGGCUUAACACAUGCAAGUCGAGGGGCAGCAUGGUCUUAGCUUGCUAAGGCCGAUGGCGACCGGCGCACGGGUGGGUAACACGUAUCCAACCUGCCGUCUACUCUUGGACAGCCUUCUGAAAGGAAGAUUAAUACAAGAUGGCAUCAUGAGUCCACAUGUUCACAUGAUUAAAGGUAUUCCGGUAGACGAUGGGGAUGCGUUCCAUUAGAUAGUAGGCGGGGUAACGGCCCACCUAGUCUUCGAUGGAUAGGGGUUCUGAGAGGAAGGUCCCCCACAUUGGAACUGAGACACGGUCCAAACUCCUACGGGAGGCAGCAGUGAGGAAUAUUGGUCAAUGGGCGAGAGCCUGAACCAGCCAAGUAGCGUGAAGGAUGACUGCCCUAUGGGUUGUAAACUUCUUUUAUAAAGGAAUAAAGUCGGGUAUGCAUACCCGUUUGCAUGUACUUUAUGAAUAAGGAUCGGCUAACUCCGUGCCAGCAGCCGCGGUAAUACGGAGGAUCCGAGCGUUAUCCGGAUUUAUUGGGUUUAAAGGGAGCGUAGAUGGAUGUUAAGUCAGUUGUGAAAGUUUGCGGCUCAACCGUAAAAUUGCAGUUGAUACUGGAUAUCUUGAGUGCAGUUGAGGCAGGCGGAAUUCGUGGUGUAGCGGUGAAAUGCUUAGAUAUCACGAAGAACUCCGAUUGCGAAGGCAGCCUGCUAAGCUGCAACUGACAUUGAGGCUCGAAAGUGUGGGUAUCAAACAGGAUUAGAUACCCUGGUAGUCCACACGGUAAACGAUGAAUACUCGCUGUUUGCGAUAUACUGCAAGCGGCCAAGCGAAAGCGUUAAGUAUUCCACCUGGGGAGUACGCCGGCAACGGUGAAACUCAAAGGAAUUGACGGGGGCCCGCACAAGCGGAGGAACAUGUGGUUUAAUUCGAUGAUACGCGAGGAACCUUACCCGGGCUUAAAUUGCAGAUGAAUUACGGUGAAAGCCGUAAGCCGCAAGGCAUCUGUGAAGGUGCUGCAUGGUUGUCGUCAGCUCGUGCCGUGAGGUGUCGGCUUAAGUGCCAUAACGAGCGCAACCCUUGUUGUCAGUUACUAACAGGUUCUGCUGAGGACUCUGACAAGACUGCCAUCGUAAGAUGUGAGGAAGGUGGGGAUGACGUCAAAUCAGCACGGCCCUUACGUCCGGGGCUACACACGUGUUACAAUGGGGGGUACAGAGGGCCGCUACCACGCGAGUGGAUGCCAAUCCCAAAAACCUCUCUCAGUUCGGACUGGAGUCUGCAACCCGACUCCACGAAGCUGGAUUCGCUAGUAAUCGCGCACCAGCCACGGCGCGGUGAAUACGUUCCCGGGCCUUGUACACACCGCCCGUCAAGCCAUGGGAGCCGGGGGUACCUGAAGUGCGUAACCGCGAGGAGCGCCCUAGGGUAAAACUGGUGACUGGGGCUAAGUCGUAACAAGGUA
rnacentral:rRNA from 1 species